rnacentral:tRNA from 1 species
UCCCUGGUGGUCCAGUGGCUAAGACUCCAUUCUCCCAAUUUUGGGGGCCCAGGUUCAAUCCCUGGUCAGGGAA